rnacentral:rRNA from 1 species
AUUGAACGCUGGCGGCAGGCUUAACACAUGCAAGUCGAGCGGGGGAAGGUAGCUUGCUACCGGACCUAGCGGCGGACGGGUGAGUAAUGCUUAGGAAUCUGCCUAUUAGUGGGGGACAACAUCUCGAAAGGGAGGCUAAUACCGCAUACGUCCUACGAGAGAAAGCAGGGGAUCUUCGGACCUUGCGCUAAUAGAUGAGCCUAAGUCGGAGUAGCUAGUUGGUGUGGUAAAGGCCUACCAAUGCGACGAUCUGAAGCGGGUCUGAGAGGAUGAUCCGCAACACUGGGACUGAGACACGGCCCAGACUCCGACGGGAGGCAGCAGUGGGGAAUAUUGGACAAUGGGGGGAACCCUGAUCCAGCCAUGCCGCGUGUGUGAAGAAGGACUUAUGGUUGUAAAGCACUUUAAGCGAGGAGGAGGCUACUUUAGUUAAUACCUAGAGAUAGUGGACGUUACUCGCAGAAUAAGCACCGGCUAACUCUGUGCCAGCCGCCGCCGUAA